rnacentral:rRNA from 1 species
ACGGGUGAGUAACGCGUGGGUAACCUGCCUCAUACAGGGGAGUAACAGUUAGAAAUGGCUGCUAAUACCGCAUAAGACCACAGUACUGCAUGGUACAGUGGUAAAAACUCCGGCGGUAUGAGAUGGACCCGCGUCUGAUUAGGUAGUUGGUGAGGUAACGGCCCACCAAGCCGACGAUCAGUAGCCGACCUGAGAGGGUGACCGGCCGCAUUGGGACUGAGACACGGCCCAGACUCCUACGGGAGGCAGCAUG